rnacentral:rRNA from 1 species
AGUGAACGCUGGCGGUAGGCCUAACACAUGCAAGUCGAACGGCAGCACAGUAAGAGCUUGCUCUUACGGGUGGCGAGUGGCGGACGGGUGAGGAAUACAUCGGAAUCUACUUUUUCGUGGGGGAUAACGUAGGGAAACUUACGCUAAUACCGCAUACGACCUACGGGUGAAAGCAGGGGAUCUUCGGACCUUGCGCGAAUGAAUGAGCCGAUGUCGGAUUAGCUAGUUGGCGGGGUAAAGGCCCACCAAGGCGACGAUCCGUAGCUGGUCUGCGAGGAUGAUCAGCCAAACUGGAACUGAGACACGGUCCAGACUCCUACGGGAGGCAGCAGUGGGGAAUAUUGGACAAUGGGCGCAAGCCUGAUCCAGCCAUACCGCGUGGGUGAAGAAGGCCUUCGGGUUGUAAAGCCCUUUUGUUGGGAAAGAAAAGCAGCAGGUUAAUACCCCGCUGUUCUGACGGUACCCAAAGAAUAAGCACCGGCUAACUUCGUG